rnacentral:rRNA from 1 species
AUUGAACGCUGGCGGCAGGCCUAACACAUGCAAGUCGAACGAGUGGCGGACUGGUGAGUAAUUUCUGGGAAACUGCCCGAUCGAGGGGGCUAACUACUGUAACCCUUGGCUAAUACCGCAUACCAUCGGUUCUGCCCAGAGGGGAUUAGCUAGUAGGUGGGGUAACGGCUCACCUAGGCGACGAUCCCUAGCUGGUCUGAGAGGAUGACCAGCCACACGGGAACUGAGACACGGUCCAGACUCCUACGGGAGGCAGCAGUGGGGAAUAUUGGACAAUGGGCGCAAGCCUGAUGCAGCCAUGCCGCGUGUAUGAAGAAGGCCUUCGGGUUGUAAAGUACUUUCAGCGAGGAGGCGUUACUCGAAGAAGAAGCACCGGCUAACUCCGUGCCAGCAGCCGCGGUAAUUC